GUAGGUGGCAAGCGUUGUCCGGAAUUAUUGGGCGUAAAGCGCGCGCAGGUGGGUUCUUUAAGUCUGAUGUGAAAGCCCCCGGGCUCAACCGGGGAGGGUCAUUGGAAACUGGGGAACCUGAGUGCAGGAGAGGAAAGUGGAAUUCCACGUGUAGCGGUGAAAUGCGUAGAUAUGUGGAGGAACACCAGUGGCGAAGGCGACUUUCUGGCCUGUAACUGACACUGAGGCGCGAAAGCGUGGGGAGCAAACAGGAUUAGAUACCCUGGUAGUCCACGCCGUAAACGAUGAGUGCUAAGUGUUGGGGGGUUUCCGCCCCUCAGUGCUGCAGCUAACGCAUUAAGCACUCCGCCUGGGGAGUACGGUCGCAAGACUG
rnacentral:rRNA from 1 species